CCCUUAGAUGUUCCGGGCCGCACGCGUGCUACACUGAGUGGAUCAGCGGGUCAGGUUGCGCGAAAGCGUUUCCUAAUCUUUAAAUCCGCUCGUGAUGGGGAUUGACGGUUGCAAUUUUCUGUCAUGAACGAGGAAUACCUUGUAAGCGCGGGUCAUCAUCCCGCGCUGAAUACGUCCCUGCCCUUUGUACACACCGCCCGUCGCUCCUACCGAUUGAGUGGUCCGGUGAGGCUUUGGGAUCUGAGCGGAAAGAGCGUUUCGCUGUUUCUGCUCGGAAAACUCAGUCGAACCUUAUCAUUUAGAGGAAGGAGAAGUCGUAACA
rnacentral:rRNA from 1 species